GCCGUGACGGGCAGCGCGGCGCGGUCGGCCGUCUGCCGGGCGGCCUCGAAGUCCUCGGCGUCGUCCCAGUCCACCUCGCCGCGC
rnacentral:tRNA from 1 species